AGCCGGGGAGUUAGCGGUGCCCUGUACUUGCAAUCCGCUAUAGCAAGGGUGAUGUCCCGUUUCGGGUUGGCCAGGUAGGGCAGCCCUUAGCAAGUGACGUUGACGUUUGAGUCUCACGCAAUAGCAGCCCAUGAACCGUGUCAGGUCAGAGAUGGAGCAGCACUAAGUGGUUUCUGUUAUGUGCCGUGAGGAAGCUUGGGCCGAGUUAACUACUAAGGUA
rnacentral:SRP_RNA from 1 species